UAUACAAAGCAAAUGAGCCAACAACAGCAACCAAGGCCUCAAGAAUCCCUUGAUGGAGAUGUCGUUUCUCUCCAUGGGAAUCUUGCUGAGAAGACAAAAGAUGCGGCGACGGUGUCGGUAGAAAAUGAAGCAGUGACGGGGCAGACCCAGAAGAGCGGUGCGCCGACGGCUGAGGGUGAACAGGGCUUGAACGUCGCAGUCGCAGAAACUGGUUCGCCUGCAAGGCGUAUGGUCGCGGAAUCAAUCGCUGGACAGAUGGCUGGGCAAAUAAGCCAAAGAGUGCCAAUCCAGCCGAUGACAGCACCAGCCACAUUUCAACAUGGAGGUAGUUCG
rnacentral:misc_RNA from 1 species